rnacentral:rRNA from 1 species
AGUGAACGCUGGCGGUAGGCCUAACACAUGCAAGUCGAACGGCAGCACAGUAAGAGCUUGCUCUUACGGGUGGCGAGUGGCGGACGGGUGAGGAAUACAUCGGAAUCUACUUUUUCGUGGGGGAUAACGUAGGGAAACUUACGCUAAUACCGCAUACGACCUACGGGUGAAAGCAGGGGAUCUUCGGACCUUGCGCGAUUGAAUGAGCCGAUGUCGGAUUAGCUAGUUGGCGGGGUAAAGGCCCACCAAGGCGACGAUCCGUAGCUGGUCUGAGAGGGUGAUCGGCAAAAAUGGAACUGAGACACGGUCCAGACUCAUACGGGAGGCAGCAGUGGGGAAUAUUGAACAAUGGGCGAAAGCCUGACGGAGCAAAGCCGCGUGAGUGAAGAAGGUCUUCGGAUAGUAAAACUCUUUUGUUGGGAAAGAAAAAAAGAGGAAGAAACCACGGCUGUCGUGACGGUACCAAAAAAGAAAGCCCCGGCUAACUACGUG